CACAUGAAAGGUUUGCAACAUCUCAGGUGUGAAGUGGACAAAUUCAUAAAAACUGCAAUUGAUUGGAACAUCACGAGCACAGAGAGAGGGGAAUUUGCACAUUUUCCAUUCAUAUUCCAUCGACUUCUGUAUUACGAAGAAAAGGAAUGGAUGUCGGAUGGACUAUAUCAGUUCUCAUGCUUGUAAUAGGAGCUGGAGCAGUGACAACAGCUGCUGCACCUACAACUGCUCCAGCUGUGACAAACAAGACAAAAACUGCUGUAGUUAUACAUGCUGUACCAUUAUGUAAUGGACUUGCAACCACAGUUGCACCCACAACAGCAGCGCCUGCCACUGAAGCUCCCCGAAGAGUCGUUGUCCUCUCAGCUACUUUGCAACAAGCAUUCGUAAAACAACUCAAUGA